rnacentral:hammerhead_ribozyme from 1 species
AUCCGGCCGACAAAUCCCAAAUAGGACGAAACACGCGUCAUGUAU